GGGUGGUAAUGCCGGAUGCUCCGGUUGGAUGCAUGUCCUUCCGGGAAAGAUCCAUCGGUAUGGGAUGGGGUCGCGUCCUAUCAGCUUGAUGGCGGGGUAACGGCCCACCAUGGCUUCGACGGGUAGCCGGCCUGAGAGGGCGACCGGCCACAUUGGGACUGAGAUACGGCCCAGACUCCUACGGGAGGCAGCAGUGGGGAAUAUUGCACAAUGGGCGCAAGCCUGAUGCAGCGACGCCGCGUGCGGGAUGGAGGCCUUCGGGUUGUAAACCGCUUUUGAUCGGGAGCAAGCCCUUCGGGGUGAGUGUACCUUUCGAAUAAGCACCGGCUAACUACGUGCCAGCAGCCGCGGUAAUACGUAGGGUGCAAGCGUUAUCCGGAAUUAUUGGGCGUAAAGGGCUCGUAGGCGGUUCGUCGCGUCCGGUGUGAAAGCCCAUCGCUUAACGGUGGGUCUGCGCCGGGUACGGGCGGGCUGGAGUGCGGUAGGGGAGACUGGAAUUCCCGGUGUAACGGUGGAAUGUGUAGAUAUCGGGAAGAACACCA
rnacentral:rRNA from 1 species